UACGGAGGGGGCUAGCGUUGUUCGGAAUUACUGGGCGUAAAGCGCACGUAGGCGGCUUUGUAAGUUAGAGGUGAAAGCCCAGGGCUUAACUCUGGAAUUGCCUUUAAGACUGCAUCGCUAGAAUCGUGGAGAGGUGAGUGGAAUUCCGAGUGUAGAGGUGAAAUUCGUAGAUAUUCGGAAGAACACCAGUGGCGAAGGCGACUCACUGGACACGUAUUGACGCUGAGGUGCGAAAGCAUGGGGAGCAAACAGG
rnacentral:rRNA from 1 species